GUUCCCGAGAGAUGAGAUGAUGUUGUCAGGGGAACUGAUGAUGAAGAAACGUUAGAGAGUCUAGUUGAGCCGGAGAGUGUGAGAUGCAGUUGCAGAGGGAAGUGCGCUAGAGUGAGACGCGAUGGACGAGGCUGCGAGUGCAAAGUGGCAGAUGUCAAAGCUCUCUGCAGUCCAAGUUUCUCCAUCCUAGGUGAUUUCAGUUCAGUCUCUCUCUUGUCAACAAAUUGAACGUCUACAACUUUUCGUGUGGCAAUAUCCAUAAGAGAGUACACACAAUAUUUUGCACUGAACCCUGGUGAGUCACAGCGCCCAUCACCAGCAAGAAGUACUGGUCGAUCUCCAAUAUCGGCGAGGAUUGCAUUUCUGGAUGUUCCCCAAUGUUCCACAACAGAUGGACAUAUAUAUAGGUGCUGAAUGCGAUCAAAAGUUGACUGUGAUAUAGAAUUCAAUCUAAAGAACUGACACAAGAGACUAAUUUUUGAGAAGUUGUUUCCAGACAGAAAAACUGAAGCAGCAAACAAAAGAUUAUUUAAGAAGAAUGGGUAUCCAUUUUGAGAUUUGCAUCGUGCAGAACUACUCCAUGAGCCUUGGUGGAACUUCUUGCAGUGCCAUUGCAAUGUCAAUGUGGUGCCAAUAUGCUUCUUCUGCACCGAUAUCUCUUCCCAACAGAAGGGAUAUCUGCACGUUUUUCCAAGCAACUGCAAUAUGCAAUCUUCAUCACACACAACCCUGGGUAACUUCAGCCUAUUCUCAAGAUCAUUCUCAAGAUCAUUUUCAAAGAUAGUGAUAGGUGUUAUUACUAUUGGUGCACUGAGAUACGUAUAACAGGAAUAGCUCCAGAAGAUGGACUUGAGGUCGGCAUCUGUCCACCUGAAUCUUUGUCACUAAUUCCAAACUGUACCUGAAACGAAGCAAAUCUAGUGGUCAGUAGUAAUAAACUCUAAGAUUACAAGAUGCAAGGGGUGUGACCCCAAGUGGUUGUUUUGUAUGCUCUUUAUUGAAGAAAGACAACGUCCUUUAUUCUCAUUAUUAUAUCAGAAUGACACUAUAAGCAAUUUACAUGUAUCCUCUCUAACAAACACUCUCACCGUUGGGAUAAUCAUCUCCUCUACAGUCAACUGAUCAUCCAGAACUUCCUUGCUUCCGACAGGUGAGGUUGUGACAUCGACAAUGUCAUGUGAUGAAGCCUGGUGAGUGCUUGGGGACAAGGUUAUGUCAUCCAGAUAACUGGCAUCAAGCUCAUCAACAUCAUCAGAUGAAGUACAAUCAGUGUCACUAUGGAUACAUAAUUUAUAACAUCUGUAACUGUAUGUACGUUGGAUAGUGAUCAUUGAUGACCAUGCACUUAGAUUACCUUUCAUAUCGGUAUUCAUCUUCAGAUGACUGGUCAGAUUCAUCUAGUGUAGUCAGUAAAGUCUUCAAGCUGAUAGAAACAUUUGAAGUCACAACUGUUCUGUAAGGGUACAGGAUCUUAUAUUUACUCAGCCGUUCUUCUAGGUUCUUGAUCUUCAUUACUCUCAUCAUCUGUUUCAAAACCUGAUGAACAAUUCACAGAGGGGCAUGGAGAGCUGCAUCAGUGGACAACAGUCAUAACAUUACACUAUGUAUACUAUAUCUACAGAUACAUGCACAAACAGACGUGCAAAUUCAACUGUCGUACUUUUCAGAGUUUACUGGACUAAGUGUAGAUGGAAACAAAGGUCUUCUUGAACUGAGUUUGCCUGACCGUACAGGAGUAGAAAUCAUUUCUGCUGCGUGUCUGACAGAUGUGUCUAAAUCACGAAGAUCUGUACAAGACAGUAGACGUGUAUGUAUAUAUAUCUUCUCUAUUCUCAAUAAUCUACUAGCUAGCCUACCUGCAGCUAUCGAACAGUCGGACUGGUCUGUACGUUCUCUAGAAUGGGAACUUCCGAAGCUAUAGUCUCCAAUGUUGCUGAAUCGUCACCUAGAUUGAAGAAUAGAGUCAUAUCGGUGUUGAGAAUAGGGUCGUCGAUCGAAGUGCUGUGGCUGGACUUACCAAUCGCAUUAGGCUCCCGUAGAGAAGUGGACAAUGGCUGACAGCUGAAAAAGCGUAAGCUUUGACUGUUAUUCGUGAAUUGAUACAGAAGUACCAAGCAAGCUAACCUGCAGUUGAGUACGCGCCUCAAAAGAAAUUCGGCAAGCUAGUUGAAACUGGGCAAGCGUAGGCGAUCUCUCAAAGCGAGGAGUCUGUCGUAAGUAGAUCGUUCCAGUCUUACUAUUUUGUAUUCUGCGUCUAGUUGUAUUUUCCGACGCUGGCUUCUUGCGGAUGUCGUCGACAUUGCAAUAGACGUUAUACUUCUGGUCACGUGCAGGAUUUAUUCGAAGCUCACACAUGCAUAUACGAAUGCGAAAACAGAUAAAUUCAGCUUUUUAACCUCUAACUGCUAUAUUUAAAGCGUUCCGUCUUUGCAGAGUCUACAAAGCUAGUGUUGUAUUUGCUACGGCUACUCAAACUGUGAACUGCAAAGCGUUCGCAUCUUCGUUUUUUGUUGCUUAUUUCGAUGAACUUGAAAAAUGUAUACAAAAUUCAAGAUGGAUUCCGAGGCGUUCUCCUCGCGCAACAUUUGGACUGUGCCCUUUUAAGUUAAGUCUUGCCUGCUAGGGAAGGUACGUGUUCGUGCGUAGCAUACGAUCGAGUCGUAUAGUGCACUUGUUCUUGCUUGCACAAAAUCGAUCAAUCGGCCACAGUUAGCUCUGUGUUGGUUGAAUUUGCUGAGGAUGGGGAACAGCGACGGGCACGUGUCUGAGUCUAAAGUAUGGAGGUUGCGGACUGACGGUGAACAAGAGGUGGUCUUCAGCUCACUAAGAGAAGGAAGCAGCGUCCUGGCUUACUGGAGUCCAAACAGAGAGUACUACGAGGCGACAGUUGUGGAAGGAAACGACUCAUCACACAGUAAGAUCUAGAAGCCCGUCCUGUCAUGGUGUGGAGUUUGGUUUUGACGAUGGCUUGUCUUCGCGCGGAUUACCUUUACAUUAUAUACUGAGAUGUCCAAAUGGGGCUCCACUUAUAGUGCAUCGAUCAGGGCUUGCUGGAUCAUCUUCUGACAAGUUUAUUUGUAACUAUUUUUUGUGCAGGACACCACCAGUUUCCAGCCAAACGGCGAAUAGACCUAGACUGAGAUCGAUCUGUAGGACAUUCAGACAUGGUAUAUAGUUGCAAACUGAAGUUGAUCAGUGUAGCUGCUAUCAAGGAACGUGAAGCUAUGCAAGCAAGUAACAAACGCAAAAAAGGCUGAUGUCAUGAUAAAGGCCACAGCUCAGAAGAUAGAAACAGGAUUCUUCUGAAAUAAAACCAGCUGCUGAGCAAAGAAAACGGAAGGUGGAAUCAACUAAUGAAAAGCCUUUUGAUUCUUAUAUUAAAGGCAAGAGUGUGCCAAAGUAAAGAUUCAUCAUCCAGACCAUCUCCGCCUACAUCUUUCCCGAGAUCUCCAGAAGGCGGAGAUGGUCUGGCUACGGGAGACUACAUCGAGCAUGACACAUUCUGAAGAUUAUGAUAAUCCGGAAGUGACUGCAGAAUCAGCUGAUCUUGGCACGAGAGAGGUAUCCAAAGACCUCAUUCCAACAUUGCACAAAGACAUGGUGGGUGUCAUGAGACGACUGGACAAGAUCAUCAGUCUUUUGGAUUCUGCAGAAAGAGACAAACCCAAGCAAGAGGAACAAGAAAUAGAUGCCUGUGACAUUUCAGAAAGAGUUUAUAUUGGUGAUCCAAGCCCUAAUGUGAGGGCCAGUAAGUUGGCUGUUACCAGAGCCGUCAUGAAGGCUGGUAGGAGGUCUUUGUUGGCCCUCAAUCUUGUUGAUAUCUUGUUCAAUCAGGAUUGCCUAAGACGUUCAACUGUGUGUGGGUCUAGAGACUCCCCAGAGAGGCACUAGACCCUAGAAAGAUCGAAGCCAUAAGAAGCCAUUGUUUUCAAAAGUUCCCAAUACACGAGGGAGAAACAGAAAAGGAUGCAUGGCAGAAAAUGACAAAGGCCAUCACAGACAAGUGUUUGCUAGUUGCCAAAAGCUCUAUAGCAAAUUAGAAUUAUGUUUGAGUUAGACUAUAACAGGAAUAAUUUCAGGAUGAUAGCAUUUGCAGAUCUUGAUUAUAUAAUUAUGGAGGUAUUCUAACUUUAAUAUAGCA